rnacentral:rRNA from 1 species
GACGAACGCUGGCGGCGUGCUUAACACAUGCAAGUCGAACGGAAAGGCCCUGCUUGUGUGGGGUGCUCGAGUGGCGAACGGGUGAGUAACACGUGAGUAACCUGCCCUUGACUUUGGGAUAACUUCAGGAAACUGGGGCUAAUACCGGAUAGGAGCUCCUGCUGCAUGGUGGGGGUUGGAAAUUUUCGGCGGUUGGGGAUGGACUCGCGGCUUAUCAGCUUGUUGGUGGGGUAGUGGCUUGCCCAGGCUUUGACGGGUAGCCGGCCCGUGAGGGUGACCGGCCACCAUGGGCCUGAGAUACGGCCCAGAGGCCUACGGGAGGCAGCAGUGGGGAAUAUGGCACAAUGGGAGGAAGCCUGAUGAAGCAACGCCGCGUGCGGGAUGACGGCCUUCGGGUUGUAAACCGCUUUCGCCUGUGACGAAGCGUGAGUGACGGUAAUGGGUAAAGAAGCACCGGCUAACUACGUG